AGAGCGAACGCUGGCGGCAGGCCUAACACAUGCAAGUCGAGCGGCCGUAGCAAUACGGCAGCGGCAGACGGGAGAGUAACACGUGGGAACGCGCCCUUCGGUUCGGAAUAACUCAGGGAAACUUGAGCUAAUACCGGAUACGCCCUAACGGGGAAAGAUUUAUUGCCGAAGGAACGGCCCGCGUCCGAUUAGCUAGUUGGUGAGGUAACGGCUCACCAAGGCGACGAUCGGUAGCUGGUCUGAGAGGAUGACCAGCCUCAUUGGGACUGAGACACGGCCCAAACUCCUACGGGAGGCAGCAGUGGGGAAUAUUGGACAAUGGGCGCAAGCCUGAUCCAGCCAUGCCGCGUGGAUGAUGAAGGCCCUAGGGUUGUAAAGUCCUUUUAACGGGGAAGAUAAUGACGGUACCCGUAGAAUAAGCCCCGGCUAACUUCGUGCCAGCAGCCGC
rnacentral:rRNA from 1 species